UGCAGGAUCGCUACCCUCGCCGUUCUUUCAGUUCAUUUUGCCACCUCCCGCUCCCCAGCUUCAAAAGUGAUCGCAAUCAACAAGGAGUUCCCGGGCCCCGUCGUCAACGUCACCACAAACUACAACGUCGCCGUCAACGUCCUCAACAGCCUCGACGAGCCGCUCCUCAUCACCUGGGACGGCAUCCAGCAGCGGAAGAACUGCUGGCAGGACGGUGUGCUGGGCACCAACUGCCCCAUCCCGCCCGGAUGGAACUGGACCUACAACUUCCAGGUCAUGGACGACGCGUGCAAGUCGCUCGACUAUCCAGAAGACCAGACCUGUGCUUUCAGUUCAGUUUCGUCAGAUAUAUCUGCUGCCAUGCUCUUCUAUUUGUAUUCAGUUUGGUCAGACUUGUGGUUCCUGGACGGCCUUGGCUAUCCUAUCUAUCUCAGCUUCAUCAGUUAG
rnacentral:rRNA from 1 species